rnacentral:lncRNA from 1 species
GUUGGUACGGGAAACAAGGAACAUUAUCCUCAUACAAAAAAAUAAGAUAAUUCUAAAUACAUGUUCCAAAAAAAUAUGGAAUUUAUUACAAAGGAUAAUCAUAAGAUAUACUGGAAUUGUCCUGGACCUCACUUCUGUAAUGGGUAUAUGUUAAUGGAAUCCUUCUCCGAAUACGGGACCAACAUAUUACUAGUGGUAGACCCCAAUGUCCAAUGAUCUUCAAUUUCUACCGAAUAUUGGCGGUCAAAAAAAUGCUAACAUUCCAAUUUUCAAUAACAGUUAACAGCAAAUACAUUAUCACAAUAACAGAUAACAAAAAAACUAAAAGCCCAAUAACAGCUAACAAUGAAUAAGACAAUAACAGCUAACCGCAAAUAUAUUUUCAGAAUAACAAAUAACAAAGAAUUAAAUUGCCCCAUAACAGCAUAACAGUUAAACCCCUUGCCCCCCUCUGAAAUGUUUGAAUAACCUUCUGAGAGAAAUAUCCGGAAUUUAACCCCGAUGACACAGAAAUCAAAAACGACACACAAAAAACCACAUCACAGGUCAACAUACAUUCUUCAAAAUAGGCAAGGUAAAUCUUGACAACAUUUCAGGUUCUAUAAAAUCGCCCAAUCUGAAGAAGUUCCAAAUGUUAGUUUCAAUGUGAUAUGUUUAAUGCUGCAUUGUAACAAUUGCUGGACAUGAAUCUUCAGUAUAGCCUUUGCUCAUUGUUGAAGGCCGUAUAGUGACCUAUAGUUGUUAAUUUCUGUGUCAUAUGGUCUCUUUUGAAGAGUUGUCUCAUUGGCAAUAAUACCACAUCUUCAUUUUUAUAUAUGCUUAAGCUGAUCAUCAUCUUUUAGAUUAAGUUUAUGAGACAGCUUAGAAGUGCAUUGAUCGAUAUACUUUAAAUACUUAAUCUAUAUAACAUGUAUAAUUACAUGAGAUAAAUAAAAUUGAGAAUGGAAUGGAAAUGAAUGUUUCAUUAUAAUACGUUAUUCUGAUUGGCUAACUGCAAUCUCGCGUUAUUCUUUAAUCAACUUCAUUACCCGAAAAAAUGUAUCAUUCAUGAUGACACGAUUCCCACAAUAAUUGAUUGAUUUUUGGUUGCUUAACGUCCAAGGGCAAAUAGUUCCCACAAUAAAGUGCACAGGUAAUUUAAAUAAAAAUUUGAUAAAAAUCGUGUUUUCAUGAUCCUAGCUAACAAUGUAAUUAUAGUUAUUCACUGCUUCUUUUUAUAACUUCAUAGGGUUGUAAAAGUGUUGACCGUGCGCACAUUAUUAGAAUGAAGCGCGCGCUUCGGUGAGCGCUUUUACACCCCAGUGAAAUUACAAAAAGAAGCAUGCAAUGCUUAUUUAACUGAACAGACAACGCAGACAUGUUUAGUCUUUAUAAUGAUCUUUUAGCGAAUAUUUAUCGUACCAAUUAGAUUACAUGUUCAGCAAGGUACACACAUAGUGCAUGUUUUGUUUGAUUUUCCAACAUUUCCUUCAGAAAGAAAUCAAAUUGACCAUAAUAUUUCACAUUAAUAAAUUCAGACUAUAUAUCACUUAAUAUAUGAUUACGUAGACAUUAAAUAUCCAGUAUAUUCCUGGUACCAUAAUCUAUAUAAAAAUUAAGGAUUCAAAUUAAGGGAAUGCCAUAUGGUUGUUAAUGAGACAACUAUAUGUCAGUUUGUUUUUCACGAGGAAACUAUCCGACUUUUCCCUGUCAGACAAACUGACCAAAG